rnacentral:lncRNA from 1 species
AGGUACCUCGGGGCCUCCCCCGGCACCUCGUCCCCAAUGGUGGUGGGGACCAAAGGCAGGGCCGGCUCCCGGGGCUGCUCCGUGGGGUUGGCUGCAGUGUCAGGCUGGGGGGAUUUGGGGGCUUUUGAGGAGAUUCAGGGGGAUUUGUGGAGAUUUAGGGGGGGUUGCUGUGUUUACAUCGUGGCCCCGUUUCCCCCCCGCGCCGUGCCCCAGGGAGAAGUCGCGCUCGUGGCUCAGCACGGGCUGGUUCACCAUGGUGAUCGCGGUGGAGCUGUGCGACACCAUCCACGUCUACGGCAUGGUGCCCCCCAACUACUGCAGCCGGAGGCCGCAGCCCCGCCGCAUGGCCUACCACUACUACGAGCCCAAGGGCCCCGACGAGUGCACCACCUACAUCCACAACGAGCGCAGCCGCCGGGGCAACCACCACCGCUUCAUCACCGAGAAGCGCGUCUUCGCCAGCUGGGCCGGCCUCUACAACAUCACCUUCUCCCACCCCGCCUGGCCAUAGGGCGGCCGCGCCGAGCGGGGACCCUCGGGGACGGGAACGGGGUCCCUUUGGGGUGGGGUCUCCAUGGGUUGGGGUCUCCAUGGGUUGGGGUCUCCAUAGGUUGGGGUCUCCAUGGGAUGGGGUCCAGGCCACGCUGUGCGCCCCGGGGCUGUUGGAGCCAUCGAGGACCGCCUGCCACCGCUGUGCCCAAGGGCUCCACGUGCCCGUGGUGUGAAGGGUUUUGGGGUGGCGUGUCCCCUCCCGUGGGACAGCGGGCAGGGGAGCCGUGGGGACACCGCACGGGGGUUAAAUCCUGCACAGAUUUAAUCCAGCUCCAAACCUCCCCGGCUGCCUCGCAGCCCACCGCCCCGCAAGCACACCCGGGGGCACCGUAGGGGCUGCAUUGCUUUCACGGCAAAAUUUUGGGGACCCCCUCCCCGUUUUACUCCCCUCUGCCACCCCCUGCACUGCCAGCCCCAGCCCCCCCGGCACAAAUCCUGACGUUUUCGGUGGCGUCGCCCCCAGAGGGGGGGCCCUGCCCUGCCACCCAGGUAAGGAUCCACCCACGGGGUGCCCACCCCAAAAACCCCCGGCCCCGUGCUCGCUGCGGGGGGGGGGCACACUGCCAAAACCUUUUCUAUCGGCACAAUGGGAAUUUGGGGCUUGGGUUUUUCUCUUUUUUCUCCCCCCCCACCUCCUUGUCCCGCUGUCUGUACUCGUUUUCCCUCCCCAAACUGAGUGCGUGGUGGUGGUGGGGGGCCAUGUACCCCCCCCACGCUUAGGGGGGGCUGUUAUUUGUCUCCUGGUGGUGGAAAAUUUGGGGAAAAUCCCUCAAAGUGGCGUGUUUGGGUGCUGAGCCCCAGCAGAGCGCAGCGCCGUGCCUCAGUUUCCCUGGGGCCGUGGCAGCGGGGGGGGCGGAGGGGGGAUGCACACCCCCUGUGCUGUCGGGGUUACCCCCGGGGGGGGGGCUCAGCCCCAUGGGGGGGUCACCCCGCGUUUUGUAGUGAUUUGUACAGAAUAAACCUUGCUGCAGUCUGUUGCCUUGGGCCCUG